rnacentral:rRNA from 1 species
UACGAAGGGGGCUAGCGUUGUCCGGAAUCAUUGGGCGUAAAGCGCGCGUAGGCGGCCUCAUAAGUCCGUUGUGAAAGUCAAAGGCUCAACCUUUGAAAGCCGGUGGAUACUGUGGGGCUAGAGUCCGGAAGAGGCGAGUGGAAUUCCUGGUGUAGCGGUGGAAUGCGCAGAUAUCAGGAGGAACACCAAUAGCGAAGGCAGCUCGCUGGGACGGUACUGACGCUAAGGCGCGAAAGCGUGGGGAGCGAACAGG